UCAUGCGUGAUCACGUCCUUCUCGAAGAACAGCUUGAAGACAAGCUUCGAGUCACUUAUCCUCCUUAGUUGAUAGUAAAUACUCGGAUAGUCCUUCACCGAUUGGUAGAACAGCGUAAUCGAGUCGGACGUCUGUCUCCAGUCCAUUUUCACGUUCAACGGACUCGAAUCUCGUGGGGUUUCCUCCUGACUGUUGCUGCGUGCUGAUUAUAUAAUAAAUUACCAGAUUUAAAAUCGUCCAGAGCAGCGGACGCGCAGUCCGUGGUACUCGGGGAAGUGUUUUCCGGCGGAGGAGACGAUGGACCGCUGAUGGAACCACGGCUCAACCUUCCCACCACGCAUUUCUGAAGGAUGCUCUGAUAAUUGACCCACGCGUGAACCUGCAACGAACGAUCUAUGGGCAAACGUCGAAAUGUAUGCAUGAACCGAAUAUAAUGUCCCCAGUGGAAAUUUCAAUCAAACUAAAAGCGAGCAGUCCUCCGUGACCCGGAUACCCUUUUCUUAUGAAAUAUGAAGACAAGUUUCUAUUACCGGCCACUGCGCUCUAUCGAUUACACCGAAACGUUUCGUAUCCAGCGGGAAAGAAAAUUAGCUCGAUUCCUAUAACGAGAAAGAGACUAGCUUCAAUUAAAUUUAAUCCGAGCGUCGAGUUAAUCGGGAUCGAGCGGAUCCUCUUAUUUUAUUCGCUCGACGGACCCCCGGGAUUUUCGAGCAAUCCACGUUAUGGCCUCUCCUCGAGCUCCAUUCCGAGAUGAAAAUGUUGGGAAUAUUAUCUUCUUUGUCGUCUACGUCCUUUUCUCUGGGGAUUAUACGGAUUCGACGCUAGGUCCACCGAGUAUUGGGAAAGCAGCUGUGUCUUGUCAAUAACUACAAAAGAAGAAGUCGCAAACAAGUAACUUGAUGCAUUUCAUAGUUCUAAUGUUAGGGUAUAAGUGUGAAAGAAAUCAUAGGUGAAAAGUUAACUCAUUGAAUGCCAAAUGUCAAUCCCUUCAGGUCUGACGCACAUUACAAUAU